GAUGAACGCGGGCGGCGUGCUUAAUACAUGCAAGUAGAACGCUGAAGCUUGGUGCUUGCACCGAGCGGAUGAGUUGCGAACGGGUGAGUAACGCGUAGGUAACCUGCCUCUUAGCGGGGGAUAACUAUUGGAAACGAUAGCUAAUACCGCAUAAAAGUCGAUAUCGCAUGAUAUUGAUUUGAAAGGUGCAAUUGCAUCACUAAGAGAUGGACCUGCGUUGUAUUAGCUAGUUGGUGAGGUAACGGCUCACCAAGGCGACGAUACAUAGCCGACCUGAGAGGGUGAUCGGCCACACUGGGACUGAGACACGGCCCAGACUCCUACGGGAGGCAGCAGUAGGGAAUCUUCGGCAAUGGGGGCAACCCUGACCGAGCAACGCCGCGUGAGUGAAGAAGGUUUUCGGAUCGUAAAGCUCUGUUGUAAGAGAAGAACGAGUGUGAGAGUGGAAAGUUCACACUGUGACG
rnacentral:rRNA from 1 species